UACGUAGGGGGCAAGCGUUGUCCAGAUUUACUGGGCGUAAAGAGCGUGUAGGCGGCCACGCAGGUCCGUUGUGAAAACUGGAGGCUCAACCUUCAGACGUCGACGGAAACCGUGUGGCUAGAGUCCGGAAGAGGAGAGUGGAAUUCCUGGUGUAGCGGUGAAAUGCGCAGAUAUCAGGAAGAACACCAAUGGCGAAGGCAGCUCUCUGGGACGGUACUGACGCUGAGACGCGAAAGCGUGGGGAGCGAACAGG
rnacentral:rRNA from 1 species